GCUAGCAUGCAUGAGGACUUGGGUUCAAUCCCAGCACCAAAAAUAAAAUAAAAUAAACACUUUAAUACUUAAAAGAAUCCUCUUGUUGCAGUUAAGUGAGAAUAGAUGUUCUUUCUUUGAGAGAGAGAGAGAGAGAGAAUUUUAAUAUUUAUUUUUUAGUUUUCGGCGGACACAACAUCUUUGUUUGUAUGUGGUGCUGAGGAUCAAACCCGGGCCGCACACAUGCCAGUUCAGCUGAGGACUCAGAUAAGCACCACCUCCCAUCAUCAGAAGUGCCUAAGCAGUGAGGAAGAUCAGAGUCCAGGGAUGGAGCGACUACCCCACCAUGGCAGAGAGGCCAUGAAGAUUUGGGCAGAAGCCACAGAAAUAGUCACAGCUUUCUCCUUCCUGCAGUAACUCCUGAAUUUGAAUAGGAAUCAUUCCGGGUUGCUCCAUCAGUAGCUCUCACCAACUUCCAUCUUUCCAGUCUUUGUGAGCAUCGCAUUCCCAGGACAGUUCCCAGGGCGAACUACAUGACCACAUGAGGAGAACCAGGCUUCAGAAAGUGGGGAGCUCUACAACUAAGGCACAGUGUCUCUGGUUUAUUUCAAGUGAUGAAAUAGAAGAUGCCAUUAGAAGCCUACCAACCAAGAAAAGCCCAGGACUGGAUGGAUACACAGCUGAGUUCUACAAGACCUUUAAAGAAGAAUACCAAUACUCUUCAAAUUAUUUUGUGAAACAGAAAAAGAGGGAGCACUUCCACACUCAUUCAAUGAAGCCAGCAUCACCCUGAUUCCAAAUAGAGGCAAAGAAACAUCAAAGAAAGAAAACUUCAGACCAAUAUCGCUAAUGAACAUAGAUACAAAAAUUCUCAAUAAAAUUCUGGCAAAUCGAAUACAAAAACAUUUCAAAAAGAUUGUGCACCAUGAUCAAGUGGGGUUCAUACCAGGGAUGCAAAGUUGGUUCAACAUACAGAAAUCAAUAAAUGUAAUUCAUCACAUCAAUAGACUUAAAGAUAAGAAUCAUGUGAUCAUCUCAAUUGAUGUAGAAAAAGCAUUCAACAAAAUACAGCACCCCUUCAUGUUCAAAACACUAGAAAAACUAGGGAUAACAGGAACAUAUCUCAACAUGAUAAAAGCUAUCUAUGCUAAGCCCCAGGCCAACAUCGUUCUAAAUGGAGAAAAAUUGAAGGCAUUCCCUCUAAAACCUGGAACAAGACAGGGAUGCCCUUUUUCACCACUUCUAUUUAACAUAGUUCUUGAAACACUGGCCAGAGCAAUUAGACAGACAAAAGAAAUUAAAGGGAUACUGAUAGGUAAAAAAGAACUCAAAUUAGCACUAUUUGCCAAUGAUAUGAUUCUAUGUAUAGAAGACAAAAAAAAUUCCACCAAAAAACUUCUAGAACUAGUAAAUGAAUUCAGCAGAGUAGCAUGAUACAAAAUCAACACCCCAAAAUCAAAGGCAUUUCUGUACAUCAGCGACAAAUCCUCUGAAAGGGAAAAUAGGAAAACUACCCCAUUUACAAUAGCCUCAAAAAAAAAAACAAAACUGGGGAAUCAACUUAACAAGAGAUGAAAGAACUAUACAAUGAAAACAACAGAACACUAAAGAAAGAAAUUAAAGAAGACCUUAGAAGAUGGAAAGAUCUCCCUUGUUCUUGGAUAGGCAGAAUUAUUUCUGUGAAAAUGACCAAACUACCAAAAGCACUUUACAGAUUUAAUGCAAUUCCAAUCAAAAAUCCCAAUGAUAUUCCUCACAGAAAUAGAAAAAAAGUCAUAAAAUUCAUCUGGAAAAAUAAGAGACCCAGAAUAGCUAAAGCAAAUCCUUAGCAAAAAGAGUGAAGCAGGUGGCAUCACUAUACCAGACCUUAAACUAUUCUACAGAGCAAGAGUAACAAAAACAACAUGGUAUCGGCACCAAAAUAGAGUUGUAGACCAAUGGUACAGAAUGAAGGACACAAAGACAAACCCACAUAACUACAGUUAUCUUAUAUUAGACAAAGGUGCCAAAAACCUACAUUGGAGAAAAGAGAGUCUCUUCAACAAAUGGUGCUGGGAAAACUGGAAAUCCAUACGCAAAACAAAGUAAAAUUAAACCCCUAUCUAUCACCAUGCACAAAACUCAACUCAAAAUUGUUACUCAAUUUAUUCCAAUAAAACUUUACUGAACACUUACUAUGUGCCUGAAGUGUGGUGGGUGCUAAAAUAUACAUAAAUGAAUUAAUGUCUGGUCCAUACUAUCCCAGAACUGGAGGUGACACUUGAGAGAUAAAUAAUAACACAGUUAAAUAAAAAUAAUACACAAUAAUAUGGCAUAUGAGUAUGCAAUAAUUUGCAGACAAUAUUCACAAAUAGAAAUAAAAAUCAUUUUUCCUGGGGAGAGUGAGGGAAAUCUUCAUUGAGGAAGUGGUGGUUUUCUAGGACUUUGAAUUUUCCAGGUCAGUUGCAGGAGGCUAUCUGGCACAGGUGAAUUAAAAUUUAUAAGUGUGUGGAGGUUUCAAAAAUCAUUCAUGUGUGCACACUGUGUGAGCACAUCUAUAAUCAUUUUGAUAUUGCAAAAAAAUAAAAUGCAAGAUGGAACUGAGAACUGAUGGGAAAGGAUAUAGGAGAGCUGGAUAGGUGAUAAAAAGUCUUUGUGUUGCAAGCCAAGGGGCAUGGAGUUGAUUCUCUGAGUAAAGGGGAGUCCGUGAAGGGUUUUCAACUCCACAGCGGCUGGCUGGUUUUCCACAUAGGAAAAGAGCCUAUGAACAGUGUCGGAAAAAAAAAAAAAAUUAUGAGCAGAUGAGAGGACGAAGAGAAGGGUAAAUAGACUGAUGCAAGAGGCCAGAUAAACAAUAAUAAAAACUUCAUUAAAGACAAUAAUAGAGGCCCCAGGAGCAGCAGGUUCCGGUGCCGACUUGGCUACGUCCAAGAACCACAUCACCCACAACCAUUCCUGUAAAUUGCACAUAAAUGGCAUAAAGAAACUCCUAUCACAAAGAUAAGAAUCUCUUAAGGGGGUGGGCCCCAAGUCUUGAGGAACUUGUGUUUUGCCAAGCAGCACAAGAAGAAGGGCCUGAAGAGGAUACAACAAACAUCACCUGUUGAGGGCCACAGCCGAGUCGGGAUGACGCAUGGCAUUUUUGCCAGAAGUAGUGGUUGAGAGGUGACGCCAGCGAGUUCUCCUGGAGUUCCCUUGAGUUCCAGUUGAGCUCUUGCUGGGGGAUUCCCAGAGAGUUCCGAUUGGUUGGGGAAGUGCCGGAGGAGGGAUAUUUCCGGUUGCUGGUUCCUGGAGGAGCCCGUGGCUUCAGCAGAAUUCCCGGGGAGCCUGUGUGGAGUGUGCUGUUGGAGUUCAGAAAUAAAGUUUGUUCCUGCUUCAGUGGCUCGUGAUUUGUGCCCAGAAAGACUGCGGCAAUCACCAAGGCCAUGAAUGCAGGUACGAAGGGCGUCAAGGCACAGCGAAGCCCAAGGAAGUGAAGCCCAGAUUCCAAAGGGUGCAAGUCUCAAGCUCAAUCAACUUACUUACAUUCGCACCCCAAGCUCAAGAAGCGUGCUGGUACCCUGGUACCCUUUUCCCAGAGUAAUGGGCUCUAGAGCUAAAGGCCAAGGCUCAAAGCAAGGCCAGGCUUUGGCUUCAGUGUUCAAAAGUGCUCACGUCCCCAUGAAGUCCCCAUGGUAAAGGCCUCUGUUUGCCAACCUGAGGACAGGAGGACUGGUGUAACCCCUGGGCUGCUGUCUGCAUGGGAUUGGUGUCCUGUGUCAUUUGUAUAAAUAAAUAUGAGGCAGUGGGGAGGAAAGACAACAGUAAUAAAAGGUAGGUUGAAUGAAAUGAAGAGAUACUUACCUAGUAAAACUGGGCAAGUUCCAUGACAGGGGAUAUGUAACAGCUGGCUCCCAGCUUUUUGGCUUGAAUUACUAGGUUGAGAGUGGUGCCACUAAAUGGAGAUCCUGUUUAGGACAUACAGAGCCUGAAUCAGCACAGACUGUUGGUGUAGAAGACUAAAAAAAAAAAAAAAAAUGACCUGAAAGCAGCUGACCAGGCUGGGAGACAAGCUUUGAAUAAGCAGUUUCUGGAGAGCAGGGUCAGAUUGCAAUUUUUGAAGCAUGAGAUUAAAAUGAGGACACAGAGAUAGCAGUGCAGUAAUUGCCAAGAAAAGUGUUCCAGGCCCAGGGAAAUUGGAGCAUGCUUGUAAUAUACAGCUGGAGAGUCAGCCCCUCAAUAAAGGUAGAAAAUGCAGAAGUGAGGGGGGCUACUGCACACUGUUUGCCAGAUAUAUUUAAAUUUCUUUUUUUUCUUUUUCUUUUUAUUUAUAUAUGACAGCGGGAUGUAUUACAAUUCUUAUUACAGAUAUAGGAAAUUAAUAUUGGCAGAAAUGGUGCGGCUCUGCAUUGUGUGCAACCAGAGAAAUGAAAAGUUGUGCUCCAUUUGUGUACCAUGAAACAAAAUGCAUUCUGCUGUCAUGUAGAACUAAUUAGAAAAAAAAAUUUAAUUUAAAAAUGUUGAAAAACAAGAAAUUAAUAUUGUAUAUACUUUUGAAUUUGAUUUCAAAGUCAGGUCUGCAUUUAUUCAUAUUUAUAUCUGAUUACAAAGAAUGACAUUUGGGGGCCUUUACAACUAAUUUUUAUUCCCAACUUUGCCAUUUUUCAGACAAAAACAGGAACCGGAAAGCAGUGGCUGGGCAGGCUGUCUGUGGUGUGACGCACACUGCUGGCCCCCGACAGCUGUAGUAGAUGUUGUCUUGCUUCUCAUGAAACAGUCUUCUAACAUUGGAUCAAACAACCUUGAUUGUUUAAAGUGACAGUAAGUGUUAGAAUAAACCACAACAUCUAAAUCCGUUGGCAGUAACAACUCCACCCAAAGGUGGGUUCUAACAUAGUACCAGUGAACUGCAAUUGCAGGUACUGGGUGCCUCUUUAGUGUAAAAAUUAGGCUUUUUUUUUCUUUUGUGUGUAUGUGUGUGCAAGUUCUGUGUACAUAUGAGAGAAAAAUGUGCCAUUCAAACAUUUAAACAUACAUCUGGUUAUUCAGUUGGAGGUAAUAAAAGAUAAAUGUAAGCCCUUGGGUAGUUUCCUUCCUUAUACAUCAGAAGCAUAUCAACAUUGGCACAUGGUUAGGAAGUCUAUGUCAAUUUUAAAUUUAAAUUUAAAAUGACAUUAACAUAAAAAAGGGAACAGCCAUGGGAUAUACCUCCUGAGGGGAUGGUAGAGCAGGAAAGCAGAAAAUGCAUUCUCAUUCCAACUAUACACGGUUUUAAAUGAUCUGUAAAACUAAUUUGGAUUGUCAUUUAGGAGUCUACAUAAUGCUAGUAGAAUGUUGACUAUAUUUAACACAAAAUUAUUCCAUCACAAAUUUCACUCCUAGAUAAAUCAGCUUUACUUUACUGACUUGAAUUACAAAAUGUUAUUUAUAGAAAGUACAAACUGUUGCCAUAGUUCUUUUGGUGUUUAUUGAACGGUGAGAAAAUGUCUUUUGAAAAUAAACUCUCUCCAAAUUUC